GGCCGCAGAGUUUGAUCAUGGCUCAGGAUGAACGCUAGCGGCAGGCUUAAUACAUGCAAGUCGUGGGGCAGCAUGUCCCGCAGCAAUGCGGGAUGAUGGCGACCGGCAAACGGGUGCGGAACACGUACACAACCUUCCUUUUAGUGGAGAAUAGCCCAGGGAAACUUGGAUUAAUACUCCGUAACAUAUAGAAGUGGCAUCACUUUUAUAUUAUAGCAGCAAUGCGCUAGAAGAUGGGUGUGCGGCUGAUUAGAUAGUUGGUGGGGUAACGGCCCACCAAGUCGACGAUCAGUAACUGGUGUGAGAGCACGACCAGUCACACGGGCACUGAGACACGGGCCCGACUCCUACGGGAGGCAGCAGUAAGGAAUAUUGGUCAAUGGACGCAAGUCUGAACCAGCCAUGCCGCGUGGAGGAUGAAGGUCCUCUGGAUUGUAAACUUCUUUUAUCUGGGAAGAAAUCCACUUUUUCUAAGGUGGUUGACGGUACCAUGUGAAUAAGC
rnacentral:rRNA from 1 species